UAAAGGCUCGUACAGACUACAUGACUUUAAAACGUUGGUCCGAACUGUGCGGUUCACACUACAUGACUUGCUCUCUGUGAAAUCAGGAGUGUUCACGUUGUUGAUCAGUUCACACCACACGACAUAACGUGACUGCCCCACAACAGGAGGUAACGCACUACACGAGUUGAAAACAACUCUAUCACCCGGCGAUUCUAUCUUGUCCACAAACCACGUUUUGUCAAGAAAAAUCACGCGAUAAAACAAACCGGAAAUGACGCGAAACAACACGCGCACCAGUAAACCCACAGAAGAAGAAUGAAGACGACGCGCAAAACUUUUGUUUGUAUAUAUAGACUUCAUACAGAAAUUCGUGCUGCAAACCGUUUGCGCGAUGCAAAGCCGCAAAAGAAAAAAAUGAAGAGAUGUGUAUGUGGAGAGGUGGAUCAACACCACACGAGGACAGCAGGGAUUUAAGAGUUGGAGGUGAGUACAGCUUGUUUAUAUAGGAAAUAUAGCUGCAUGCUUAUGUUUGGCUAUGAUCACAUUUAAAAUAUCAACGUGUUGUCUACUGUGUUUAAAAGCUGUGUUUCUUGAUUUAAUUAUCGUUCAAAUAGAAUAGGACAGGCUUCGCAAAGCAUGACUUGGAGAGCGUUUGUCUUUGACCCUGCGAUUCUAUGCAACAGGUGACACGUUCAAGUCCCUCAGGUUCAAGUCCAGGAUGGGGGACCAGCACCAAUCCCACAAAUAGUUUGGGAUAGCUGUUCUGUACCAGGUUAUAAAGGACGA